UACGUAGGGGCCUAGCGUUGUCCGGAUUUACUGGGCGUAAAGAGCUCGUAGGCGGUUCGGCAAGUCGGAUGUGAAAUCUCCACGCUCAACGUGGAGGGGCCAUUCGAAACUGCCGUGACUCGAGUCCGGUAGGGGAGUGUGGAAUUCCCGGUGUAGCGGUGAAAUGCGCAGAUAUCGUAAGGAACACCUGUGGCGAAAGCGGCUUACUGGGUCUUUUCUGACGCUGAUGCACGAAAGCUAGGGGAGCAAACGGG
rnacentral:rRNA from 1 species